AAUUUUUUAGCAACCUCCUGCGUUGGAACGGUAACGUAAGCCACAGAAUUUACACCUGCAAGGCUACUCAUGUUUCUAUAAGUUUGUGCGCUAAUGUUUCUAGUAAAACAAAAAAGCACAAACAGUCCAAAGACAGGUUUGCACGGUACGAGUGACAUUUGUUCCGAAUUUUCGGUUGUCGGCAAAUUUCUGACUGCCUUGAAGUUAGCAUUGCAAUUCAAGCGAAUCCUUGAAUCGAUAUUAAGAAUCGUUUAACCGCCAUUUGAAGCAUCACGUUACUGCACAAGGGACUCGUUUUGCGUUCUUCGUUUAGAGAGAACACCACAUGAAGACAUGCUGGAUUAUUUCCGGUUUCCCGUUGAAUUCAACGUUCACGAAAUAAUCGUCCUAGUAGAUAAUGUUUAACGCGAUGCUGUCGAUUACCGUUGC